CCUACGGGAGGCAGCAGUAGGGAAUAUUGCUCAAUGGGGGAAACCCUGAAGCAGCAACGCCGCGUGGAGGAUGAAGGUUUUCGGAUUGUAAACUCCUUUUGUUAGAGAAGAUAAUGACGGUAUCUAACGAAUAAGCACCGGCUAACUCCGUGCCAGCAGCCGCGGUCAUACGGAGGGUGCAAGCGUUACUCGGAAUCACUGGGCGUAAAGAGCGCGUAGGCGGGAUAGCAAGUCAGAUGUGAAAUCCUAUGGCUUAACCAUAGAACGGCAUUUGAAACUGUUAUUCUAGAGUAUGGGAGAGGUAGGUUGAAUGCUUGGUGUAGGGGUAAAAUCCGUAGAGAUCAAGAGGAAUACUCAUUGCGAAGGCGACCUGCUAGAACAUAACUGACGCUGAUGCGCGAAAGCGUGGGGAGCAAACAGGAUUAGAUACCCCAGUAGU
rnacentral:rRNA from 1 species